GCCACUGCACCCAGCAAGGUGUGAUUUCUUUGUAGUCUUUGCUUUCCAUAUAGUUUCACAUAGAUGUCUUAGGUUUUUGGAGCUGCUAUAACAAAUUACUAGCAAUUGAGUGACUUUUUCAAAAAAGAACAGGAAUCUAUCUACUCUGAUUUCUGGAGGUUAAAAGUCCAAACUCAAGGCGUCAGCAAGCUCCCCCUAGAGGGCCCGGGGCCAAUCUGCCCUGUGCCUCCCUUUGAGCUUCUAUGGCUGCUGGUAGCUCUUGGUGUCUCAGGCUGGUGGAUCUCAGCCUCCGGUCACAUGACAUUCACCCCAGGCUCCUGUCUUCCUCUGUAAAGUCUUGGCAUUGGACUUAGGCCACCCCUAGCCCAGGAUGAUCUCAUCUCAAGAGCCUUCAUAACAUCUCCAAGACCUUUUUUCCAAACAAGAUCGCAUUUAGAGGGUCCAGGGAGAUGCAUCCUUUUUAGCGGGGAGGGAAUACAUCUUUCCUUCCCGCAUGUUUUGGGGGUAUGGGUCACUAUAUUCAACCCACAGUAGCAAUAAUGAUAAUAAAAUAUACGCAGUUUUGUUCCUUAAGUGUUGUGCCCGAUAAUGGCUUUCCAGAUGUGCUAUUUGUAAGACUGCGGUGACACAGGAUUGCUGGGUCUGCACUUGGAGGCAGCUUUUUGAGGAAUGCACUUAACUUGAUGAUUCUUCCCUCUCUUUCUUUGUUGUACCCGGAUUUAUCCCAGGGUUGUCUAACCACUAAACCACAUCCCUGGCCUCCUUUAUUUUCUGUUUUGAGACAGGUUCUUGCUGAGUUGCUUAGGGCCUCACUAAAUUGCUGAGGCUGGCCUCCAAUCUGUGAUCCUCCGGCCUCAGCCUCCCAAGUCACUAGGAUUAUAGAUGUGUGCCACCUUGCCCGGCUCUCUUACAUACUUAAUUGUUUCCUUAGACUUGCCCAUGGAUAUAAGCAAGACAGACAUUUGUAAUAGUGUGAUUGAACAGACCACAAGAAAGCAAUUAUAAAACCCCAUCACCUACAACCUCAAAAAACUCACUCCUGAGUCUUGAGACAUGUGCCCAUGAACAGCCACGUGAACGUGUCUCUUCUUG
rnacentral:lncRNA from 1 species